UAACUCAGGGAAACUUGAGCUAAUACCGGAUAAUGACGUAAGUCCAAGAUUUAUCGCCGUAAGGAUGAGCCCGCGUAGGAUUAGCUUGUUGUGGGGUAAUGGCCACCAAGGCGACGAUCCUUAGCUGGUCUGAGAGGAUGAUCAGCCACACUGGACUGAGACACGGCCCAGACUCCUACGGGAGGCAGCAGUGGGGAAUAUUGGACAAUGGGCGAAAGCCUGAUCCAGCAAUGCCGCGUGAGUGAUGAAGGCCUUAGGGUUGUAAAGCUCUUUUACCCGGGAUGAUAAUGACAGUACCGGGAGAAUAAGCUCCGGCUAACUCCGUG
rnacentral:rRNA from 1 species